GGAAGUAAAAGUCGUAACAAGGUUUCCGUAGGUGAACCUGCGGAAGGAUCAUUAAAAAAUAAUCACAGUUUUGUGAUUUUAAUAAUCAUCCUACCCUUUGUGAAUUUGUUUUGUUUGAAAAUUUAUGUUGUCUAUCCCUGGUGGUUUUGGAAAAGUUGAAAAACUUUUUCUAAUCCCAGGGACUAGGCUUUCAUAGACCUUUUUUUAAAUUAAACUUUUUGUAUUCAUUUGUCUAAAUUUAUUUUUAAUAAUUUAAAAACAACUUUUGACAAUGGAUCUCUUGGUUCUCGCAACGAUGAAGAACGCAGCAAAAUGCGAUAAGUAAUGUGAAUUGCAGAAUACGUGAAUCAUCAAAUCUUCGAACGCAUAUUGCACUUUUCUAGUUUACUAGAAAAGUAUGUCUGUUUGAGUAUCAGUAAAAUAUUCUCAUAAAAACAUUGUUUUUAUGGUUAUGAGUGUUUUACAACGAUAAACAAGUUGUUUCACUUUAAAUUGAUUUUUAAAAGCCAAUUUUGGUUUUAUCUAAUAAAAUUGGAUAAAAUUUUCCCGUAAAAAGGAAUAACUUUUCAGUUUUAAAAGGUAAAACUUUAGUUGAGCCUAAUUAAAAGGAAAUUUAACAAGAUAACUUGAUCUCAAAUCAGAUAAGAGUACCCGCUGAACUUAAGCAUAUCAAUAAGCGGAGGAA
rnacentral:rRNA from 1 species